GACGACGCUGGCGGGCGUGGAUUAGGCAUGCAAGUCGAACGGUAUCAUCCUUCGGGGGUGAGAGAGUGGCGAACUGGUGAGUAACACGUAGGUUAUCUACCCUCAAGACGGGGACAACCCAGGGAAACUUGGGCUAAUACCGGAUGUGAGCAACUUUUAGUUGUUUGAAAGGUGGCGUAAGCUGUCGCUUGGGGAUGAGCCUGCGUCCUAUUAGUUAGUUGGUGAGGUAACGGCUCACCUAGGCAAUGAUAGGUAGGCGGCCUUAACGGGUGGUCGCCCACACUGGGAUUGAGAUACGGCCCAGACUCCUACGGGAGGCAGCAGUCGAGAAUAGUCUACAAUGGUCGGAAGACUGAUAGUGCGACGCCGCGUGAACGAUGAAUCCCUUCGGGGUGUAAAGUUCUUUUAUAUGUGAGCAGUGCUUCUUAUAUUAACAGUAUGGGGAGAGAGAUAUUAGCAUAUGAAUAAGCAACGGCUAACUCCGUG
rnacentral:rRNA from 1 species